AUAUCACUAAGCGGAGGAAAAGAAACUAACUAGGAUUCCCUGAGUAACGGCGAGUGAAACGGGAAAAGCUCAACUUGAAAAUCUGGGCACUCCGUGCUCCGAAUUGUAGUCUAAAGAGCCAACAUCAGCAGCGUCGCAGGUAUAAGUCUCCUGGAAUGGAGUAUCAGAGAGGGUGAGAAUCCCGUUCUUGACUUGCAGCCGCUGUGUACGAUGUGGUUUCUAAGAGUCGGGUUGUUUGGGAAUGCAGCCCUAAGUGGGAGGUAAAUUUCUUCUAAAGCUAAAUAUGGCCGGGAGACCGAUAGCGCACAAGUA
rnacentral:rRNA from 1 species